CCUUAACCUUCUGCUCUUCAGCCAUACCCAUUUCCCCCUGAAACCCGGCCCAUCUGAGGCGCUGCACAGGACCUGAUGAAAUAGAUCCAUCCAUCACAUCCUAGUUAUCAUCGUACAUUUCUCUCACACUCAUGUACAUUCAUGAGCCUCAAAGUCAUCUAACUUGUAUCUGCCAAUUUCCGAUUAUUCAUGUUGUAGCUCACACAAACACCAUCAUAGAUCAGAGUGCAGAGAUGAGAGGAUAAGCCUCAGAUUGUUUCUCCAUGCUAACUGCAUUCUCUUUUUGAGAUGAGACAAUAAAUCUUGUGAUUGGGAAGUUGCCGGAUAAAGUUGUUCUGAUAACAAGGACAGGGAAAAUGAAUCGCACACACAUACACAGACCAAAUCUCCCUUUAUGAAAAGCUUCUUCUGUCAGCAGCUUUGAAUGACACUGUUACACGUGCUUCCUCUCUCUCCACCAACCCACCACACCCCUGGUACAGCUGAAAGGAGAGUUCAAGGUUUCAUUCUUCAUUCAAGAGCUUGAUCCUCGUGGUCACUUUUACCCAUCUUGUUCCAUCUCAAGGGUACUAAAUGAAGUCCUCCUGGGGCCCUCAGGAAGGGCUAAGACCACAACGGUGCUCAACAGGAAAGAUGAAUGUUAGCAACCCACGUCACAUCUUAAAGACAUAGGAAGGUGAGAUGGAUUAAACUGUUCUCGGAGAGCAUGCAACUGCCACGCUGAGUCAGCAUUUGACCUACUCGCCAUGCAUCGACUUCACCACAGGCUGCUUUAAAACACGAGUUAAUAGGACAGCACCGUACGUUGGUAACACAAGGCCUUUUGGGAGGUUGUCUCUGCAAGAAGAUGUCU